rnacentral:rRNA from 1 species
UACGAAGGGGGCUAGCGUUGUUCGGAAUCACUGGGCGUAAAGGGCGCGUAGGCGGCUUUAUAAGUCGGGGGUGAAAGCCUGUGGCUCAACCACAGAAUUGCCUUCGAUACUGUAGAGCUUGAGACCGGAAGAGGUAAGUGGAACUGCGAGUGUAGAGGUGAAAUGCGCAGAUAUCAGGAGGAACACCUAUUGCGAAGGCAGCUCGCUGGGACGUAACUGACGCUGAGACGCGAAAGCGUGGGGAGCAAACAGG